rnacentral:rRNA from 1 species
UACGGAGGGGGCUAGCGUUGUUCGGAAUUACUGGGCGUAAAGCGCACGUAGGCGGCUUUGUAAGUUGGAGGUGAAAGCCCGGGGCUCAACUCCGGAAUUGCCUUUAAGACUGCAUCGCUAGAAUUGUGGAGAGGUGAGUGGAAUUCCGAGUGUAGAGGUGAAAUUCGUAGAUAUUCGGAAGAACACCAGUGGCGAAGGCGACUCACUGGACACAUAUUGACGCUGAGGUGCGAAAGCGUGGGGAGCAAACAGG